rnacentral:rRNA from 1 species
UACGUAGGGUGCAAGCGUUGUCCGGAAUUAUUGGGCGUAAAGAGCUCGUAGGCGGUUUGUCGCGUCUGCUGUGAAAACCCGAGGCUCAACCUCGGGCCUGCAGUCGAUACGGGCAAACUAGAGUGUGGUAGGGGAGACUGGAAUUCCUGGUGUAGCGGUGAAAUGCGCAGAUAUCAGGAGGAACACCGGCGGCGAAGGCGGGUCUCUGGGCCAUAACUGACGCUGAGGAGCGAAAGCGUGGGGAGCGAACAGG